rnacentral:rRNA from 1 species
AGCGCGCUCCGGGCCUGCGCUGGCGCCCGGUCCGCCGAGCUCGGUCGGGCCGUGCACCGCGACGCCCUGAGCGCCGGCCUCUCCGCCGACGCCUCCGUGUGCGACGCCCUAGUGGAAAUGUACGCCCAGUGCGGCGACAUGGAGAUGGCGUGCCAGGUGUUUGACGCAAUGCCGGAGAGGGACGCCGUCUCGUGCAACGUCAUGCUCGCUGGCUUGCUGGGGCACGGUGGUCUCUCUCCUCAGGCAACGGAGGUAUGGAGGAGGAUGCUCGGAGAAGGGCACAAGCCCGACUCCGUCGUGCUGUCGACGAUUCUCUGCCAUCACCCUGAUGAUGGCAAACAGGGACUGGAGGUUCAUGCCUGGGUAAUACGCCAUGGGCUCGAGACAGAGUUGUCAGUGGCAAACGCUCUCCUUGAAAUGUACUCCAGAAAGAAUGACCUAGGCCAUGCCCUGUCCGUGUUCGAGUCGAUGCCGAUGAGGGACCUGGCCUCAUGGAAUGCUAUAAUCUCCGCGCACAGACAAGACUUCAGAGUUCUCAUGAUGUUCCGCCGCAUGGUGGACUCCGGAGUGCGGCCGGAUGAGACCACCUUUGCCGCGGUGCUCUCCGCAUGCGACAGUCUAGGAUUGGUGGAGGGUGGCAUGAGGCUGUUCUCUGAGAUGGAGAACAAGUACACAAUUCAGCCUACUGUACAGCACUGUACCUCUGUGGUGAACAUGCUAGGCAAAGCUGGGAUGGUGGAUGAGGCUUAUGAGUUAACGUCGAAGCGGGCGUGUCUCGGCAGCGAGCCAACAGUCUUGAGGGCGCUGCUUCAUGCUAGUUCAGUACAUGCCAACAUCAGGAUAGCCGAAAUUGCCGCCAAGAAGUUAUUGGACCUGGAGCCUGACAAUGCGCAUCAUUUCGUCACACUGAUGAAGAUGUACGAGAACACAGGUAGGUUCGAAGACCUCGAGAAGGUGAAGAAGAUGAUGAGGGAUAAAGGGCUUUAA